ensembl:lncRNA
ACAGAAAUGAACUAGAUAUUAUGGUUCUCAGUAUACUGGUUGGACAGGUUGGUACAGAAAGGAACUAGUUAUUAUGGUUCUCAGUAUACUGGUUGGACAGGUUGGUACAGAAAGGAACUAGUUAUUAUGGUUCUCAGUAUAUUGGUUGGACAGGUUGGUACAGAAAUGAACUAGUUAUUAUGGUUCUCAGUAUACUGGUUGGACAGGUUGGUACAGAAAGGAACUAGUUAUUAUGGUUCUCAGUAUACUGGUUGGACAGGUUGGUACAGAAAGGAACUAGUUAUUAUGGUUCUCAGUAUACUGGUUGGACAGGUUGGUACAGAAAUGAACUAGUUAUUAUGGUUCUCAGUAUACUGGUUGGACAGGUUGGUACAGAAAGGAACUAGUUAUUAUGGUUCUCAGUAUACUGGUUGGACAGGUUGGUACAGAAAGGAACUAGUUAUUAUGGUUCUCAGUAUACUGGUUGGACAGGUUGGUACAGAAAGGAACUAGUUAUUAUGGUUCUCAGUAUACUGGUUGGACAGGUUGGUACAGAAAGGAACUAGUUAUUAUUGUUCUCAGUAUACUGGUUGGACAGGUUGGUACAGAAAGGAACUAGUUAUUAUGGUUCUCAGUAUACUGGUUGGACAGGUUGGUACAGAAAGGAACUAGUUAUUAUGGUUCUCAGUAUACUGGUUGGACAGGUUGGUAUAGAAAGGGAUUGUAAGACCCUACUUAUUUUCCCACGAAGGUUGAAUAGGCAGAGAGCUCUGUAAAUAUUGUACAACAUUUUGUUAUUCUUUUGUGUCUUUUUUUUGUUGCAUUUAAAUAUAAAAGUGGUUGGACUGCUCUGGGGAAUAAUCAGUUACAUCUCGUGGUCUUGACUCCGAGUUGCAGAAUUGGCAAGCUAGC